AUAAAUAUUAUGCUUUUCUUCCUCAUCUCUUUCAACACAUCUGCACGUCUUCAUGGUUUGAAGGUCAUCCAGCUGACAUAUGAGUAUCAGUAACUUUUCCCAGAAAGUCUAAGACCCAGGGCUCCAACAUACCACACAUAAGGGAGUUAUCUCACAAACAUAAGAUCUUGAUCACAAAGAACCUGUGAGAGAUAAAGAAGGCUCAAUUUCUGUCACCACUGUUGAAGAAAUCUACUCAAGACCAUGCCAUAAGAUGAAGAAAUAACUAUCACCUUCAGUAGAUGAGAGAUGGCAACACUUUCGGAAUAUUUUGUAUCAGACCAUAAAAGCAUAACAUGAAAUUAAAAUAU